ensembl:snoRNA SNORD26 Small nucleolar RNA SNORD26
CUACGGGGAUGAUUUCACUAACUGAACUCUCUCUUUCUGAUGGCUCAGUGGAGAAAACACAUUUCUGAGUAGC